rnacentral:lncRNA from 1 species
UCCCCGCCCCCGCUGUCCCCAUCGCUGCCCGGGCUCUUCGCUUUUUUUUUCUUUCUUCCUUUUUUUGACGUCCCCGUGAUGUCCCCACGGCGAUUUCGGUCCCCACGACGUCCCCACGCCGCCCGCGACGGCCCCGUGACGCCCGUGGUACCCGCGACGUCCCCGUGUCCCCAAAUUGUCCCCGUGUCCCCCCACCCCGUGUUUUCAUGUCUCUGUGGCCCUACGUUGUCCCCGUGUCCCCAAUUUGUCCCCAUCUCCUCCGUGUCCCCGUGUCUUGGUGUCCCCUCGUUGUCCCCGUGUCCCCUCGGUGUCCCCGUGUCCCUCCCGUAUCUCGGUGUCCCCAUGGUGUCCCCAUGUCUUGGUGUCCCCGUGUCCCACCUUGUCCCCAUGUCCCCUCGUUGUCCCCACCUUGUCCCCGUGUCCCCUCGAUCUCCCCACGUCUUGGUGUCCCCGCGUCCUUCCCACAUCUCUGCGCCCCCCCCGGUGUCCCCGCAUCCCUCCCACGUCUUGGUGUACCCUCGUUGUCCCCGUGUCCCCUCAUUGUCCCCACAUCUUGGUGUCCCCGUGUCCUUCCUACAUCCCCGUGUCCCCACCUUGUCCCCGUGUCCCCCCCUUGUCCCCGUGUCCCCUCGGUGUCCCCACGUCUUGGUGUCCCCGUGUCCUUCCCACAUCUUCGGCGCCCCCCCCCGGUGUCCCCGCGUCCCUCCCACGUCUUGGUGUCCCCACCUUGUCCCCGUGUCCCCUCGUUGUCCCCAUGUCUCGGUGUCCCCUCCCCUUGUCCCCUCGUUGUCCUCAUGUCUCGGUGUCCCCACAUUGUCCCUACGGUAUCCCCGUGUCCCACCUUGUCCCUGUGUCCCCUCGUUGUCCCCACGUCUUGGUGUCCCCAUGUCCCUCCCACAUCUUGGCGCCCCCCCGGUGUCCCCGUGUCCCCCCCGGUGUCCCCGUGUCCCCACCUUGUCCCCGUGUCCCCGUGACCCCUCAUUGUCCCCACGUCUUGGUGUCCCCGUGUCCCUCCCACACCUCGGCGCCCCCCCCGGUGUCCCUGCGUCCCUCCCGCGUCUCGGUGUCCCC